rnacentral:rRNA from 2 species
UCCUACGGGAGGCAGCAGUAGGGAAUCUUCCGCAAUGGACGAAAGUCUGACGGAGCAACGCCGCGUGAGUGAUGAAGGCUUUCGGGUCGUAAAACUCUGUUGUUAGGGAAGAACAAGUAAGAAAAAAACUGCUCGUACCUUGACGGUACCUAACCAGAAAGCCACGGCUAACUACGUGCCAGCAGCCGCGGUAAUACGUAGGUGGCAAGCGUUAUCCGGAAUUAUUGGGNNNNNNGCGCGCGCAGGCGGUUUCUUAAGUCUGAUGUGAAAGCCCACGGCUCAACCGUGGAGGGUCAUUGGAAACUGGGGAACUUGAGUGCAGAAGAGAAAAGCGGAAUUCCACGUGUAGCGGUGAAAUGCGAAGAGAUGUGGAGGAACACCAGUGGCGAAGGCGGCUUUUUGGUCUGUAACUGACGCUGAGGCGCGAAAG